rnacentral:rRNA from 1 species
GAGACUUAAAGUCUCCUGAAGGAACGUUGAAGACGACGACGUUGAUAGGCCGGGUGUGUAAGCGCAGCGAUGCGUUGAGCUAACCGGUACUAAUGAACCGUGAGGCUUAACCUU